rnacentral:rRNA from 1 species
AUACGGAGGGAGCGAGCGUUAAUCGGAAUUACUGGGCUUAAAGCGUGCGUAGGCGGGAUGGCAGGUGUCGUGUGAAAGCCCUCGGCUCAACCGAGGAAUUGUUCGGCAAACCGUCAUUCUCGAGGCCAGCAGGGGGACCUGGAACUUUGGGUGGAGCGGUGAAAUGCGUAGAUAUCCAAGGGAACGCCGGUGGCGAAAGCGGGGUCCUGGGCUGGUUCUGACGCUGAGGCACGAAAGCGUGGGUAGCAAACAGGAUUAGAUACCCCGGUAGUCC